CCGAGUUUACAACUCCCAAACCCAAUGUGAACGUUACCAAACUGUUGCCUCGGCGGGAUCUCUGCCCCGGGUGCGUCGCAGCCCCGGACCAAGGCGCCCGCCGGAGGACCAACCAAAACUCUUAUUGUAUACCCCCUCGCGGGUUUUUACUAUCUGAGCCAUCUCGGCGCCCCUCGUGGGCGUUUCGAAAAUGAAUCA
rnacentral:misc_RNA from 1 species